rnacentral:rRNA from 1 species
GGUUGACCUCGGAUCAGGUAGGGAUACCCGCUGAACUA